UGGGGAAUUUUGGACAAUGGGCGAAAGCCUGAUCCAGCAAUGCCGCGUGUGUGAAGAAGGCCUUCGGGUUGUAAAGCACUUUUGUCCGGAAAGAAAUCCUUGGCUCUAAUACAGUCGGGGGAUGACGGUACCGGAAGAAUAAGCACCGGCUAACUACGUGCCAGCAGCCGCGGUAAUACGUAGGGUGCAAGCGUUAAUCGGAAUUACUGGGCGUAAAGCGUGCGCAGGCGGUUUGCUAAGACCGAUGUGAAAUCCCCGGGCUCAACCUGGGAACUGCAUUGGUGACUGGCAGGCUAGAGUAUGGCAGAGGGGGGCAGAAUUCCACGUGUAGCAGUGAAAUGCGUAGAGAUGUGGAGGAAUACCGAUGGCGAAGGCAGCCCCCUGGGCCAAUACUGACGCUCAUGCACGAAAGCGUGGGGAGCAAAACAGGAUUAGAUACCCUGGUAGUCCACGCCCUAAAACGAUGUCAACUAGUUGUUGGGGAUUCAUUUCCUUAGUAACGUAGCUAACGCGUGAAGUUGACCGCCUGGGGAGUACGGUCGCAAGAUUAAAACUUAAAUGAAUUGACGGGGUCAUAGCUG
rnacentral:rRNA from 1 species